AACGAACGCUGGCGGCAUGCCUAACACAUGCAAGUCGAACGAGACCUUCGGGUCUAGUGGCGCACGGGUGCGUAACGCGUGGGAACCUGCCCUUAGGUUCGGAAUAACUCCCCGAAAGGGGUGCUAAUACCGGAUAAUGUCUUCGGACCAAAGAUUUAUCGCCUUUGGAUGGGCCCGCGUUGGAUUAGCUAGUUGGUAGGGUAAAAGCCUACCAAGGCGACGAUCCAUAGCUGGUCUGAGAGGAUGAUCAGCCACACUGGGACUGAGACACGGCCCAGACUCCUACGGGAGGCAGCAGUGGUGAAUAUUGGACAAUGGGCGAAAGCCUGAUCCAGCAAUGCCGCGUGAGUGAUGAAGGCCUUAGGGUUGUAAAGCUCUUUUACCCGGGAUGAUAAUGACAGUACCGGGAGAAUAAGCUCCGGCUAACUCCGUG
rnacentral:rRNA from 1 species